GGGGAAUUUUGCGCAAUGGACGAAAGUCUGACGCAGCAACGCCGCGUGGGUGAUGAAGGUCUUCGGAUCGUAAAACCCUGUCGUCAGGGACGAAGGUUGUGUUCUUAAUACGGAUGCAGCUUGGCGGUACCUGGAGAGGAAGCCCCGGCUAACUCUGUGCCAGCAGCCGCGGUAAUACAGAGGGGGCAAGCGUUAUUCGGAAUUAUUGGGCGUAAAGGGCGCGUAGGCGGUGAUUUAAGUGAGAUGUGUAAUCCCCGGGCUUAACCUGGGAACUGCAUCUCAUACUGGAUCGCUGGAGUGCUGGAGAGGGUGGUAGAAUUCCACGUGUAGCGGUGAAAUGCGUAGAGAUGUGGAGGAAUACCAGUGGCGAAGGCGGCCACCUGGACAGUAACUGACGCUGAGGCGCGAAAGUGUGGGUAGCAAAC
rnacentral:rRNA from 1 species